UACGGAGGAUCCAAGCGUUAUCCGGAAUCAUUGGGUUUAAAGGGUCCGUAGGUGGUCCAUUAAGUCAGAGGUGAAAGCCUAUCGCUCAACGAUAGAACUGCCUUUGAUACUGAUAGACUUGAGUUAUUGUGAAGUAGUUAGAAUAUGUAGUGUAGCGGUGAAAUGCAUAGAUAUUACAUAGAAUACCGAUUGCGAAGGCAGAUUACUAACAAUAUACUGACACUGAGGGACGAAAGCGUGGGUAGCGAACAGG
rnacentral:rRNA from 1 species